rnacentral:lncRNA from 1 species
CUUUGUUUCAGCAUGCCUAGUAUUUGGAAAGUAAUUGCAUUCUCUGGUUAGAGAAUGAGACUCUAAAGUAAAAAAGAAAGGCUUUUCAUCAGAUGUCUUUAUUCAGCAUUAUAUUUUAUAUGGAUGCAUCAGUAGUACACGCUUAGAAAGAAUGCAAUGAAUAUAUAUACAUACUGCUUUUGUAACAGGAAACAUUUUCUGAAAAAAACAAAUAUUAUAUAAGAACGUAUUUUUUAUCUCUAGAUGUUAGAAGAGCAAUUAUGUUCCUGUGAGCAGCUGAUGGAGGACAUUAUCAACAUGGAAGUACUUCUUUGUGAGAGAACUGUCAGCUUACGUUUAUAUUAAUAGAUAUUACCUUUGGACUAUAUCUGUGGGAAAAGAAAAGCUAUUUCAGUCCAAGCGAUUCUCCUGUGUCAGCCUCCCAACUAGCUG